UUUUCUUUUUAAUUUUUUUGGGGGAAUCCUCCCCUUUUUUAACUUUCAAAUCUAAUUCUAGGUUUUCUCUUUUUAAUUACACGGAACUAAGCGGCUCUCUUCAUCAAUUUAUCGGCAUUUUGAAGAAAGUGAGAUCAAUUAUUGACAACGAAUAGCUUGACUUGUGAAGAGGUGGUUUCACAAAGUUUUGUUGCAGAAAUCAUUCUGGAAGUUAAGGAAAUUUAUUCGAGUUAGGAGAGAUCUUAACAUAGUUAAUAUGUUAAAUUUAUCUUUUAUGAUUUAGUUAGAUUUGUGUUUACUUGAGAGAACAAUUCAUUCUAUUUGUUAAUUUGUGUAAAGUACUUCUAUAUUUGCUACUUUGUUCUUCGGUUAUGAUAUUAAAAAAACAUUUAUUUUACG